rnacentral:rRNA from 1 species
UACGUAGGUGGCGAGCGUUGUCCGGAAUAACUGGGCGUAAAGGGAGCGUAGGUGGCGGCUUAAGUUAAAUGUGAAAGCCCAGGGCUCAACUCUGGAAUAGCAUUUAAUACUGGGUUGCUAGAGUACUGGAGGGGUAAACGGAAUUUCUAGUGUAGCGGUGGAGUGCGUAGAUAUUAGGAAGAACACCGGAGGCGAAGGCGGCUUACUGGACGAUAACUGACGCUGAGGCUCGAAAGCGUGGGGAGCAAAC